rnacentral:rRNA from 1 species
CCCUUAGAUGUUCUGGGCCGCACGCGCGCUACACUGUUCGACGCAGCGAGACUUAACCUUGACCGAAAGGUUUGGGUAAUCUUCAGCAAAGUCGAACGUGAUGGGGAUCGAUCAUUGCAAUUAUUGAUCGUGAACGAGGAAUUCCUAGUAAGUGCAAGUCAUCAGCUUGCGCUGAUUACGUCCCUGCCCUUUGUACACACCGCCCGUCGCUACUACCGAUUGAAUGGUUUAGUGAGAUCUCUGGAUUGACGCUGGCUAGGGGGCGACCCUUGGCCAGACUGUUGAGAAACUGCUCAAACUUGAUCAUUUAGAGGAAGUAAAAGUCGUAACA